CCCACGAUGGCCCAUCAAUCUGCUGUCUGCCACUUGCUCAACAUCUUUCUGGAGUCUUUUCUGGCUAAUGGCUUCACGCUGAUUUUUUCUGAAAAGAACCCCCACCACCCACCAAGGAGAAUCUCAGUUAGCCAAGAUUAAACCCAUCAAAAAAAGUGACUUCAUGCUCACAAUCAAAGGCAGACAUCACUUCAUUGAACUGUCACCUGAGCUUGCGUAUUCACCGGCACGAGAUCCUCACCGGGCCGCUAAGACCCCCUUCCUGCGCAGGCGUGGUGAUAUCCAUCCAGCGCUCUUUCAAAUACACGCUUGUUAGAGACUCGCUCUCCCUUCAUAAUUCCCCCCAAAUUAGGAAAAAGAAUUCAUGCUGCAUAAAAUCUAGAAUAACAGGAUUACUUCCUGAGCAAUUAAAUGCAUGUCCAUUUUAAUGCAAGGAGGGAAAGCCCAGCCAAAUUCUGCUUUCACAUAGAACAAUAGUAGAACAAGAUGAUUUCUUAAAAUUCUUCAGGUGGAUACACUUUAGGUGAGUUUUAAGACAA
ensembl:lncRNA